AUUGAACGCUGGCGGCAGGCCUAACACAUGCAAGUCGAGCGGAUGAAGGGAGCUUGCUCCUGGAUUCAGCGGCGGACGGGUGAGUAAUGCCUAGGAAUCUGCCUGGUAGUGGGGGAUAACGUCCGGAAACGGGCGCUAAUACCGCAUACGUCCUGAGGGAGAAAGUGGGGGAUCUUCGGACCUCACGCUAUCAGAUGAGCCUAGGUCGGAUUAGCUAGUUGGUGGGGUAAAGGCCUACCAAGGCGGCGAUCCGUAACUGGUCUGAGAGGAUGAUCAGUCACACUGGAACUGAGACACGGUCCAGACUCCUACGGGAGGCAGCAGUGGGGAAUAUUGGACAAUGGGCGAAAGCCUGAUCCAGCCAUGCCGCGUGUGUGAAGAAGGUCUCCGGAUUGUAAAGCACUUUAAGUUGGGAGGAAGGGCAGUAAGUUAAUACCUUGCUGUUUUGACGUUACCAACAGAAUAAGCACCGGCUAACUUCGUG
rnacentral:rRNA from 1 species